CUCCCUCCUAACCUUGGUGAGUGCUUCUUGUCAGCGGAACCUAAUGGAAUUUUUCUGCUUUGUUGGGGAGAGCACACAAAGGUGGAAACGUGGUUAAAGACUACAGACGAUGUCCAGCACAAGGUUUGAUCGAAGUCUUCUUGGUCUGUACUGGAGCCCUAUUAACCAAAACACUGUUUCUCUGGCUCUUGCUCCUCCACAGGUGGUGUUUUAUUCCAGAAGAAAGUUGUUUCUUUUUAAGUCGAGGCCAGCAAGCAUUGAUAACAAUUCCUGUGGAAGGUUUCAUCUCCCUCCUGAGGCAUUGCGAAGGUAGGAGUUGCAAAUGUUGGGAGCUGUAAUGCAAUUUCACUCAGCACUUGUUUACAUGUAUCAUUUUUAAAAGUAUGGGGCUCUGUCCUCCACAUCAUCUUCUUGAAUAACCUCACCACAUCUCUGAAGAACACGUAUAAAUCAAUUACCUUCCAAGUGGCCUGCCUCUGCAGAGGUGAGCCAUAUUCAUGAAAACAGUUUUCAUGGACUAAAAGCCUUUCUCUAUGAUGUGCCAGGAAAUAAUGCCACACUAUUGCCAGGAGAGGCUUCCAGAAACCAACAGCACCUGCGUCACAUUAAAAACUUUUGAGCCCAAGAAUUAGGUUGAGGCUUGUUUAAAGCCCAUUUUCUGUAUUAUGGCUCAAGGGGGAUUAUUUUGGUAACCUGAACUGCUCAAAUUUUCCUGCUUCAUCAAGAUUCUCAGAUUGCUUUGGAAGUAUGUGAAGUUUGUGAAAACGCAAAUUUCACUUGCAUUUAGACCUUUGCCUGAGAACUUUCCCCCCUGAAAUUCUGCGAUUCCAUGAGAAAUUCCAUAAUUACUAUCCGUGUAUAACCCAGGGUCUAGAAGUGCUUCAAUUCUAGGCUUUAUGUGGAAUCAACGGUCCAGAGAAGGACCUCAUGAGGGGGGUGAGUAAAUGGUGGCAGACACUGUUGGCUGCCUACCCAAGAGAGAUGGCCCUCUUCCUUCCAUGCUUUGUGUUUUAGGCCCCUCUGAAGAUGCAGAGGAUGGAUCUUCGUUAGAUUAAGCCAAUCGUAUGAUUCUGUCCCAUUUACCAGUGUUUGGUUUAAGGACAAGUAUGUGACCCAGCCGCAACCAGUAAAAUAUGAGGUUUCUCUUGAUACUAAAAAAGGCUCAAGGAAGAGACAUUCUCUCCCAUCCUUGGAUAUUGUUGUAUGAGGAGCAGCCUGGAACUGCUGAAAAUAUUUUGUGACCAUGAAGAGACAAAGAUGAAGAUAAGAUUCAUUUUGCUGAGGAAGGCAGAACAGAAAGACAGAAUGUACCCAGCUCCCUGAUCCGCCUUGUUGAAUCACUAAACAAACCGUCCCCAGUAUUGCCUUAGUCUAGACCUCCUAUUAUGUGAGCUAAUAAAUCCCUUUACUGUUUUAGUUGUUGGUUCUCA
rnacentral:lncRNA from 1 species